UACAGAGGUCUCAAGCGUUGUUCGGAUUCAUUGGGCGUAAAGGGUGCGUAGGCGGCGCGGUAAGUCGGGUGUGAAAUCUUGGAGCUUAACUCCGAAACUGCAUUCGAUACUGCCGUGCUUGAGGACUGGAGAGGAGACUGGAAUUUACGGUGUAGCGGUGAAAUGCGUAGAUAUCUGGAGGAACACCGGUGGCGAAGGCGGCAUCCUGGACCAAAACUGACGCUGAAUAGCGAAAGCCAGGGGAGCAAACGGG
rnacentral:rRNA from 1 species